CUACAUUUCUCUCUCUCCCCCCUGUUCUUCCUCAUUCAUCCACCAUAACCGCAUCCUUCAAUCACCCAAAAGCUUCAGAAUUUCGUGUUCUUAGGUUCGCACAUCGUGUAAGGCAUAAAUGGUGGUUUUCGAGUGGGAGUUGGGUGAAGCUAGGAGAAAGGAUGCAAUUGAUCGAGCUAGAGUGCAUAGGGAACAACCUCAUGUUCGGUUACUGGAUGAAGAAAGAGAUCUGCUAUCGAUUAUAGAAGCAUAUGUCGGAAAUUUCUUGGAAGUGUAGACUUUAAAAAAUUUGGUAGCACGAGAAGUAGAAAUCGAGUCUGAGAUGUGUUCUGCAAAAUCCAUUGUAGUUGAGUAUGUGCUUAAACAGCUUCACAUUACAUGUUUGAAGGCUUUUAUAAGGAGGUCAUGCCAUGAUGCUUUUCUAGAUGAUCGAAUGUUUUUCUCCUGAACUCAACACACAUGAGGAAGCUCAUGAUUGGGAUGGUUCAUUUUCCCCACAGCUCGUGAAGAAGCAAUUAAUCCACGCUUAAGAAACUAAAUUGAGUGUCGUUACUUGUGUUUUGGUGGCAUGACAAACACCUCGCAAGAAAGCCAAUUUAAUCGUGUAAAUAUUGGUUAUGCUUGA